rnacentral:rRNA from 1 species
AGUGAACGCUGGCGGUAGGCCUAACACAUGCAAGUCGAACGGCAGCACAGUAAGAGCUUGCUCUUACGGGUGGCGAGUGGCGGACGGGUGAGGAAUACAUCGGAAUCUACUUUUUCGUGGGGGAUAACGUAGGGAAACUUACGCUAAUACCGCAUACGACCUACGGGUGAAAGCAGGGGAUCUUCGGACCUUUCGCGAUUGAAUGAGCCGAUGUCGGAUUAGCUAGUUGGCGGGGUAAAGGCCCACCAAGGCGACGAUCCGUAGCUGGUCUGAGAGGAUGAUCAGCCACACUGGAACUGAGGCACGGUCCAGACUCCUACGGGAGGACGGAGUGGGGAAUAUUGGACAAUGGGCGCAAGCCUGAUCCAGCCAUACCGCGUGGGUGAAGAAGGCCUUCGGGUUGUAAAGCCCUUUUGUUGGGAAAGAAAAGCAGCAGGUUAAUACCCCGCUGUUCUGACGGUACCCAAAGAAUAAGCACCGGCUAACUUCGUG